CCUACGGGUGGCUGCAGUGGGGAAUAUUGCACAAUGGGGGAAACCCUGAUGCAGCGACGCCGCGUGAAGGAAGAAGUAUCUCGGUAUGUAAACUUCUAUCAGCAGGGAAGAAAAUGACGGUACCUGACUAAGAAGCCCCGGCUAACUACGUGCCAGCAGCCGCGGUAAUACGUAGGGGGCAAGCGUUAUCCGGAUUUACUGGGUGUAAAGGGAGCGUAGACGGAAUAGCAAGUCUGAUGUGAAAGGCUGGGGCUUAACCCCAGGACUGCAUUGGAAACUGUUGUUCUAGAGUGCCGGAGAGGUAAGCGGAAUUCCUAGUGUAGCGGUGAAAUGCGUAGAUAUUAGGAGGAACACCAGUGGCGAAGGCGGCUUACUGGACGGUAACUGACGUUGAGGCUCGAAAGCGUGGGGAGCAAACAGGAUUAGAUACCCGGGUAGUC
rnacentral:rRNA from 1 species